UACGUAGGGUGCAAGCGUUAAUCGGAAUUACUGGGCGUAAAGCGUGCGCAGGCGGUUUUGUAAGCCAGAUGUGAAAUCCCCGGGCUCAACCUGGGAAUGGCAUUUGGGACUGCAAGGCUAGAGUGUGGCAGAGGAGACUGGAAUUCCCGGUGUAGCAGUGAAAUGCGUAGAUAUCGGGAGGAAUACCGAUGGCGAAGGCAGGUCUCUGGGCUGACACUGACGCUCAUGCACGAAAGCGUGGGGAGCAAACAGG
rnacentral:rRNA from 1 species